UAGUCUUUUAAUUGGAGGCUUGUAUGAAUGGUUGAAUGAGAUAUAUACUGUCUUUUUUAAAAUUAUAUAGAAUUUUAUUUUUUAAUUAAAAAGUUAAAAUAAAAUUAAAGGACGAGAAGACCCUAUAGAUCUUUAUUUUUGUUAUUUAUAAAUUAAAAAGAAUUUUAAAAUUUAUAAUUUAAUAAAAAAUUUUAUUGGGGUGAUAUUAAAAUUUAAAAAACUUUUAAAAUUUAUUAACAUAAAUAUAUGAAUAAAUGAUCCAGUUUUAUUGAUUAAAAAUUUAAGUUACCUUAGGGAUAACAGCGUAAUUUUUUUUUAGAGUUCAUAUCGACAAAAAAGAUUGCGACCUCGAUGUUGGAUUAAGAGUUAUUUUUAGGUGUAGAAGUUUAAAGUUUAGGUCUGUUCGACCUUUGAAUUCUUACAUGAUCUGAGU
rnacentral:rRNA from 1 species